rnacentral:rRNA from 1 species
UGACCUCAAAUCAGGUAGGACUACCCGCUGAACUUAAGCAUAUCAAUAAGCGGAGGAAAAGAAACUAACAAGGAUUCCCCUAGUAACUGCGAGUGAAGCGGGAAAAGCUCAAAUUUUGAAUCUGGCAGUCUUUGCAGGCCGUCCGAGUUGUAAUCUAGAGAAGCGUCUUCCGCGCUGGACCGUGUACAAGUCUCCUGA